UACAGAGGGGGCAAGCGUUGUUCGGAAUUACUGGGCGUAAAGGGCGCGUAGGCGGCCCGCUAAGUCGAACGUGAAAUCCCUGGGCUCAACCCAGGAACUGCGUCCGAUACUGGUGGGCUUGAAUCCGGGAGAGGGAUGUGGAAUUCCACGUGUAGCAGUGAAAUGCGUAGAGAUGUGGAGGAAUACCGAUGGCGAAGGCAGCCCCCUGGGAUAAUACUGACGCUCAUGCACGAAAGCGUGGGGAGCAAACAGG
rnacentral:rRNA from 1 species